rnacentral:rRNA from 1 species
UUAAGCGACUAAGCGUACACGGUGGAUGCCUAGGCAGUCAGAGGCGAUGAAGGGCGUGCUAAUCUGCGAAAAGCGUCGGUAAGCUGAUAUGAAGCGUUAUAACCGACGAUACCCGAAUGGGGAAACCCAGUGCAAUACGUUGCACUAUCGUUAGAUGAAUACAUAGUCUAACGAGGCGAACCGGGGGAACUGAAACAUCUAAGUACCCCGAGGAAAAGAAAUCAACCGAGAUUCCCCCAGUAGCGGCGAGCGAACGGGGAGGAGCCCAGAGUCUGAAUCAGUUUGUGUGUUAGUGGAAGCGUCUGGAAAGUCGCACGGUACAGGGUGAUAGUCCCGUACACCAAAAUGCACAGGCUGUGAACUCGAUGAGUAGGGCGGGACACGUGACAUCCUGUCUGAAUAUGGGGGGACCAUCCUCCAAGGCUAAAUACUCCUGACUGACCGAUAGUGAACCAGUACCGUGAGGGAAAGGCGAAAAGAACCCCGGCGAGGGGAGUGAGAUAGAACCUGAAACCGUGUACGUACAAGCAGUGGGAGCACCUUCGUGGUGUGACUGCGUACCUUUUGUAUAAUGGGUCAGCGACUUAUAUUUUGUAGCAAGGUUAACCGAAUAGGGGAGCCGUAGGGAAACCGAGUCUUAACUGGGCGUCUAGUUGCAAGGUAUAGACCCGAAACCCGGUGAUCUAGCCAUGGGCAGGUUGAAGGUUGGGUAACACUAACUGGAGGACCGAACCGACUAAUGUUGAAAAAUUAGCGGAUGACUUGUGGCUGGGGGUGAAAGGCCAAUCAAACCGGGAGAUAGCUGGUUCUCCCCGAAAGCUAUUUAGGUAGCGCCUCGUGAACUCAUCUUCGGGGGUAGAGCACUGUUUCGGCUAGGGGGCCAUCCCGGCUUACCAAACCGAUGCAAACUCCGAAUACCGAAGAAUGUUAUCACGGGAGACACACGGCGGGUGCUAACGUCCGUCGUGAAGAGGGAAACAACCCAGACCGCCAGCUAAGGUCCCAAAGUCAUGGUUAAGUGGGAAACGAUGUGGGAAGGCACAGACAGCCAGGAUGUUGGCUUAGAAGCAGCCAUCAUUUAAAGAAAGCGUAAUAGCUCACUGGUCGAGUCGGCCUGCGCGGAAGAUGUAACGGGGCUAAACCAUGCACCGAAGCUGCGGCAGCGACACUUAGGUGUUGUUGGGUAGGGGAGCGUUCUGUAAGCCGUUGAAGGUGACCUGUGAGGGUUGCUGGAGGUAUCAGAAGUGCGAAUGCUGACAUAAGUAACGAUAAUGCGGGUGAAAAACCCGCACGCCGGAAGACCAAGGGUUCCUGUCCAACGUUAAUCGGGGCAGGGUGAGUCGACCCCUAAGGCGAGGCUGAAAAGCGUAGUCGAUGGGAAACAGGUUAAUAUUCCUGUACUUGGUGUUACUGCGAAGGGGGGACGGAGAAGGCUAGGCUGGCCGGGCGACGGUUGUCCCGGUUUAAGCGUGUAGGGGGAGUGACCAGGUAAAUCCGGUUGCUUAUCAACCCUGAGGCGUGAUGACGAUGCACCACGGUGCAGAAGCAGUUGAUGCCAUGCUUCCAGGAAAAGCCUCUAAGCAUCAGGUAACAUUAAAUCGUACCCCAAACCGACACAGGUGGUCAGGUAGAGAAUACUCAGGCGCUUGAGAGAACUCGGGUGAAGGAACUAGGCAAAAUGGUGCCGUAACUUCGGGAGAAGGCACGCUGGCGUUAGGUGAAAGGACUAGCUCCUGGAGCUGAAGCCAGUCGCAGAUACCAGCUGGCUGCAACUGUUUAAUAAAAACACAGCACUGUGCAAACACGAAAGUGGACGUAUACGGUGUGACGCCUGCCCGGUGCUGGAAGGUUAAUUGAUGGGGUCAGCCGCAAGGCGAAGCUCUUGAUCGAAGCCCCAGUAAACGGCGGCCGUAACUAUAACGGUCCUAAGGUAGCGAAAUUCCUUGUCGGGUAAGUUCCGACCUGCACGAAUGGCGUAAUGAUGGCCAGGCUGUCUCCACCCGAGACUCAGUGAAAUUGAACUCGCUGUGAAGAUGCAGUGUACCCGCGGCAAGACGGAAAGACCCCGUGAACCUUUACUAUAGCUUGACACUGAACAUUGAGCCUUGAUGUGUAGGAUAGGUGGGAGGCCUUGAAGUGUGGACGCCAGUCUGCAUGGAGCCAACCUUGAAAUACCACCCUUUAAUGUUUGAUGUUCUAACUCGGCCCCAUGAUCUGGGGUGAGGACAGUGUCUGGUGGGUAGUUUGACUGGGGCGGUCUCCUCCCAAAGAGUAACGGAGGAGCACGAAGGUUAGCUAAUCACGGUCGGACAUCGUGAGGUUAGUGCAAAGGCAUAAGCUAGCUUGACUGCGAGAGUGACGGCUCGAGCAGGUACGAAAGUAGGUCUUAGUGAUCCGGUGGUUCUGAAUGGAAGGGCCAUCGCUCAACGGAUAAAAGGUACUCCGGGGAUAACAGGCUGAUACCGCCCAAGAGUUCAUAUCGACGGCGGUGUUUGGCACCUCGAUGUCGGCUCAUCACAUCCUGGGGCUGAAGUAGGUCCCAAGGGUAUGGCUGUUCGCCAUUUAAAGUGGUACGCGAGCUGGGUUUAGAACGUCGUGAGACAGUUCGGUCCCUAUCUGCCGUGGGCGUUGGAAGAUUGAGAGGGGCUGCUCCUAGUACGAGAGGACCGGAGUGGACGAAUCACUGGUGUUCGGGUUGUCAUGCCAAUGGCAUUGCCCGGUAGCUAAAUUCGGAAGAGAUAACCGCUGAAAGCAUCUAAGCGGGAAACUUGCCUCGAGAUGAGUCUUCCCUGGGGCUUAAAGCCCCCUGAAGGAACGUUAAAGACUAUGACGUUGAUAGGCUGGGUGUGUAAGUGCAGCGAUGUAUUGAGCUAACCAGUACUAAUGAUCCGUGAGGCUUAACCUU